rnacentral:rRNA from 1 species
CAGCCGCCGCGGUAAUACAGAGGGUGCGAGCGUUAAUCGGAUUUACUGGGCGUAAAGCGUGCGUAGGCGGCUUUUUAAGUCGGAUGUGAAAUCCCUGAGCUUAACUUAGGAAUUGCAUUCGAUACUGGGAAGCUAGAGUAUGGGAGAGGAUGGUAGAAUUCCAGGUGUAGCGGUGAAAUGCGUAGAGAUCUGGAGGAAUACCGAUGGCGAAGGCAGCCAUCUGGCCUAAUACUGACGCUGAGGUACGAAAGCAUGGGGAGCAAACAGGAUUAGAUACCCGGGUAGUCCCUGUCUCUUAUCA